UACGGAGGGUGCGAGCGUUGUCCGGAAUCACUGGGCGUAAAGGGCGCGUAGGCGGCCUGAUAAGUAGGGGGUGAAAUCCUGCGGCUCAACCGCAGGGCUGCCUUCUAAGCUGUCGAGCUCGAGCACGGUAGAGGCAGAUGGAAUUCCCGGUGUAGCGGUGGAAUGCGUAGAGAUCGGGAAGAACAUCAGUGGCGAAGGCGGUCUGCUGGGCCGUUGCUGACGCUGAGGCGCGACAGCGUGGGGAGCAAACAGG
rnacentral:rRNA from 1 species